rnacentral:rRNA from 1 species
ACUUUACAAUGCUGGCAACAGCGAUAAGGGAACCUCGAGUGCCAGGUUACAAAUCUGGCUGUCGAGAUGCCUAAAAAGCAUUUCAUAGCAAGGGCCGGGCAAGACCGGUGCCAGCCGCCGCGGUAACACCGGCGGCUCGAGUGGUAACCGUUAUUAUUGGGUCUAAAGGGUCUGUAGCCGGCCGGAUAAGUCUCUUGAGAAAUCUGGCAGCUUAACUGUCAGGCUUUCAGGAGAUACUGUCUGGCUCGAGGCCGGGAGAGGUGAGAGGUACUUCAGGGGUAGGGGUGAAAUCUUGUAAUCCUUGAAGGACCACCAGUGGCGAAGGCGUCUCACCAGAACGGACCUGACGGCAAGGGACGAAAGCUGGGGGAGCAAACCGG